GCCCAUUUUAUUUGGGUUACGUAACCCUUUUUGAUCGUAUUCGAUAUGAUCUGCUGAAGGAAAAAGAUGGCGGAUGAAGAGAUGACGCGUACACUAUAAUAUGCAAAUGGGGAGUAGUAGUAGUAGUAGUAGUGUGUGGGAAUGCCAGCCAACCCUUUAUCGGAUAACGUGGGAAACCCAGGGGUACGUGUGGGUAGGUGAAGGGCGGACGACGGCGACGCUUUUGCAUACAUGUAGAUUGAUCCCUUCCCCAUCUCUACAGUGAAAGAAUUUUUUUUUUCCUUUCUUGAUUUUCUUUCGACAUGCAGAUGAAAUAUUUGAACGCCCAAUCAACGACGUUCUUUGCCUGUGUGGGAAUACGCCGUUGCUGACGUCGUUUGAAUUUUAUUAUUUAUGUUUCAAUGUCUACGCCAUGAAAUGGAUGAAACGUUGCAUUAUGUAUCUAGACGGUCGACGAUUUUUGAAUUGAUUUUCCUUCUUUUCUUGAAUGAAAUUUUUUUUUCUUUCUCCGUAGGGAAUGGUGGAGCGUUACGUUUUGAAUUGAAAAUGAUUUGGUUGAUUUUUUAAAUGUAUUUGGAAAUAGAUUUAUUUUUAAUUCGGCCGUGGGGUUCGGAAAAAAAAGGGCGGGUGCGCGUCUGCGCAGUUGUCGCGGUUGAUUUCCAGGGCGUGGGUGGAGCCCCGAUUCCUUUUUGUGAUGCAUUAUUGGCCUAAAACGUUCGAUUCAAUUUGUAUUUUUUCUCGGUAUCGUCUCAAAUAUUUGAUCAGUUCUACGCAGAUGAUCGAAAAAGAUUAAAAGACGAUAAGAGGCUUUGCAACUAAUAGGGUCGUUUCGGAGCGUUGUGUAAUCUCUGCACGCGGGAUAAAUUCCACCGGGAGGAGAAUAGUAUUUCCUUAAAAAGAAGGAAAAAAUAGAAACAACUACUGCGAAUGAAAUUAUUAUUUCAGAACCGUGCGUGGGCGGCCAUGAUGGAUGAAUGGGUUUUGGAUAAAAAUCUAAACUGGAGAGAAAAAGAUGAUAAGAGCCCGCAUGCGCCGGGCCUGGAGAUGUUGUGCCCCGCAGACUCUGGGCAUCCUAUUCUGUUAUUACGUACUACUAUUACUACUACACAACAUCUAGCGCAACCAACCACGAAAAAGCAGCAACUCAAAUAAGAAAUAAAAAGAGGGAACAAAAUAAAAAAAAAGAAUUACAUGACAUGAUGACUGAAUUAUUCGAGCCCUGAAUCUCCGGCAUCUUGACUUUGAGCUUUCCAUUAUUAUUUUUUUUGUUGUAAUGUACAAAACUGACUGCCAACGAGCAUGGAUUGUGUACACGCGCAUGUGAUGACCGUAUUUUUUUCUUUUUCUUUUCUUUAUUACUGUACGAUGAACGAAUCAAACGUGAUGUUAUUUGCCGCGUAAUCAGGAGCCAACAACGGAACUCGGUGUCGCCGACCAUUUUUCUUUUUCUGGGGGAAUUUGAUUCGGUUACAGUGAAGGAGAACUCGUGAUUUCUUUAUUUUUAUCACUUGGUUUUUGUUGUUGUUGAAACAAUCUAAUGGCGUAGCUCUUUCGAAUAUUGUGUACGGAGAAUUGGCACUUUUAAUUGAAAUAUUUUUGGAAAAUGUUGUUUAAAAUAUUUACCUAAAAUUUUUCAAGUGUAUGUGUUAUCUUCAGAAAAAAAUCAAUUAAAAUUCUAACGAAUCCUGCGAGGAAAAGUAGACUAGUCCAACUUUAUAGGAACACAAGUAGUUGAAAUGUUGUGUGUAGUGGAAUGAGCCAAGCCAGUAGGCAUAAUUAUGAAAACUAGGAGAAUCCCGCCGACUUUUUGACUCUUCGACUCCACCAACCUUGUUGAAACUUUUCCUCUCUCUCUCUCGUUACAUUUUCUCUUUCUUUACAAAAAGAUUUAACCCGCCGGUGAUGAGCUGCUGAUUACAUCUUUUAAGGCAUCUCUCUCUUGUAUAUGUUUCCCCCUUAUUUUUCUUUACCGGUCCACCACGGUACAAUGUAAUAAUAUUUCAGUUGCGCGUUUGUAGGCUAGUUGUGUGUAUUUUUAUUUAUUUAUUUUUUUCUUUAAGUAGCCAGUAGAGUUGUUGUCGCCUAGUAGUUGUUUCUACUCUACUGGGGAUAUAUAGAUACAACAUCUAUACUAGAGAUAUCUGAAUGUUGUUGCCGCUCCAGGGGCUACCGAGUUCCUUGUUGCUUGCUGCUGUUAUUAUUUAUUCAAAAACAAAAAAAUAAUAAAAUAAAAUUUACAGGUUUUUUUAUUUUUUUGUUUUUAGUCGAUCUCGUCACACAAGUUUGUGAUACCAGUUUAUUUGUUUAGAAAAAAAGGACGACUUUUGAUUAUUUUUAUUUUUUUAACUUUGUUGACCCGUUCGGUAGUUUUGUCGACUAUUUUGACUUUGAUUGAAUUCAUAGAAGAAGCGGGAAAGUAAAAAAAAAAAAAAAAAUGAAGAGGAAAAUUCUAAAAAUGACUCGAGUCCUUAUAAGACAAAAAUUCCUGACCAAAAGAAUAUCUUGAAAAAGUAAAAUAAAUGUCGUUAGUUUGGUUGCAGACAAAUUCACGGUGAAUCGAGUCCAAGAGCUCCCUCUUCCAAAAAUGGUCAUGUGUGGAUAUUUAUUUCUUCUGGAACACGAAGGGGUCUCCAUCUUCGGUUGACAUAGGCAUAAAAACGGGGUUCGAAAAGGAAAAAAUGCGCGGUGAAUUUGAAAUAAAAGAAAAAAAAAGACACACGGGAAUAAUAAUGACUAGGAAGCCACCGACCGUGUAAUGCCCAGUAACUAGCGGCAGCCAACAGUACACGCCAUAAGAUUAGCAUCGAAAUGUGUCAGUUGUGCACGUAUUCACGGCACAUGAGCGCUCAUGUUGGACGCCUUCUCCAUCUGUCUUUUCGAGCCCCGAUGGCUAGGCCUAGAUAGAAAUCCUUGCUGCUGUUUGUAAGGAUCGUGCGGAAAACACGACCAUAGCACAGCAGCUGUAGAUACAAAAAAGUGAGCGCGGGGUAUUUGAGUAAAAAAUUGAAUUGAAGAAGAUUUAAAAGGCAUCAAGGUGAAUAUGGUGAGAGAGGGGGACCGGCGAUCAAAAAUGCACAAGGAAGAAAAAGUGGGGAGAGAGACGACAAGAUAAAAAAAAGCUCUGGGUUUGUUGUGCCUUAACGAGGAUCUCGUGUUCCUCGUUGACAUUCCAUCAAUCCUACCGAUCUCUCUCCUAUCUUUUCCCUUUUUUUUCUCUUUCUUUUCUUUUUUCUUUCACGCGUUUUAGAAAUGUAUAGAUAGGAAACCGACCAUUCGGGUGGAAGGGGGGGCUUUUGCUCACGAGAGAAUUUUUGGUUUUGUUUUUAAACGUGGCGCGCGCGCUGCUAUUAAAAUUAUUUUUGAAAAUUAUUUUUCCUUUUUUUUUUCUUUAUUUUAUUUCUUUUUUUCUUUUUCUCCGCCUGUGUUUGAACAUGGAAUAAUCGAACCUGAUGGAGCGGAGAGACCCCAGCCGUGAAGAAAGAGUGUCUCUUGUGUGUGUGUGUGUGUGUGUGUAUAAAUAGUAAGAAGAAAAAAAAAUCAAGGGAAUGGAAGAACUGUGUGUGACAGCAGCUGUGAUAUGCAAAUGAACCCUCGUCCUCAUCAUCUCCCCCUUUUAAACUUAUUUUUUCCAAAACGAAUUAUUUUUGUUUCUUUCGAUUUUUCUUUUUUUUUAAAAUGAUGUCGAGUGUUGGGUAAUUUUUUCCUUUGAGAUUUAUUAAGGGAGAAGAAGAAAAAAGAGCAUUGCGUCUGUAUAAACUGGACCGUGCAGCAGUUGAACAAUUUCGUGACUGAAUUGACCCAGUCACGCCUGUGCUCGUAUAUAAACUUCCUCUUUAUAUUUUCAUUCACAAAUGAAAUUCAAAGGAAAGGAGAAAAGAUUCCCUUUCACCCUUUUGGUCGUUCGUCCAUUUUCGUGAGUGAAUAUUACGCACGCCCGGCCAGUAGUAGCAACUGUUUAAACAAAAAAUACUUGUCAUAAAUCUCUCUCUCCCCUAGUUGACGAUACCCUCGAACGGAUAUUAAAUUGAUUAAAACCCCCCAAAUAAAAUAAUAAGUUUCCGUUUCAUACCAUCAAUGAAUGAGGUCACAAUUUUGGUUUGCAAUGACGUGAAUUUUGUUUAUUCCAAGUGGGAGGAGGUGAAAAAAGAACCCCAUUGAUUUUCGAUUGGAAAACCGGUUUUUCUUUCCCUCGUCUCUUCUUGUGUAAUAUUUUCGGGAGAAGCAAAAAAGAGUUGCACGUUGACGUUAGGUUGUAAAGGAAAGAAGAAUUAAAAAAGGGCCGCCCGUUUGGCGCUUUGAGAAGACGAGAGAGACUUGCCAAGUUUGCCAUAGGGAGGGGGACGACCUCCAAGAGUCUGCUGGUGCUGUGUUUGGUAACCCCAACAGCCGGGCCGCCUGUAGAAAAUAACGACACGUUUUCACGUCGGAGCGCGCACAGCUUUUUAUCUCAUUUGAAUGCCAAAAACAGGCCGAUGAGAGAGAGAAAGAAAAUGUUUUCUCUUCGUCUGUCGGGGUGGGGCGGCAGACGGGAGGAAAAAAAACCGUUGGAGGAUUCCGUUUCUUACCCCUUUUGCAGCUAGCAGCAACUAGCUUCUUUUGUAUAAAUUGAAAUUCAAAUAUAUUCUUCCUCCUUAUAUAACAACUGCUGGAAGAAGUAGAAGAAAAAAGAAGGAAGACUUUUUUUUUAUCUUUUUUUCUUUUUGGCGUGUGUGAGGGAUGCAGCGCCGCCGUCGUUGGCGCGCCCAACUCCACCCCAUUCGCCUGUCAACCGGGUGAGGGUCGUCGGGCGGACCAAUGCCGAGUCGAGCAAAGGUUGAAUCAAAACUCCGCCCCCAUUGCCUAGUGUGCGGGUCCCUUGUGAAAAGUCGAUCAACUGGGCGUGGCUAAACUAGGAGCCCCGUUUGAAUGAUCCCCCCUUCGUUUCCUAUUGAAAAAAGAGAGUUUCGCUUUUCUUGACGGAUGGUGUAGUUUGAUAUCCUCUCUGUCACGGCAACAGCAGCAGCCAUCUUUUUUCUUUUUUUUCUUAACGCCGCAGGAGGAGGUGGUAGGAGAAGGGUUGGGUUGAGCCUCUCUUCUUUUCCAUGUUUGAUAUCCCCCUAUCUCUCUCUAUCCAUCCCUUCUGGUAUAUAUGCAUGCAUGCGUGUAUGGUCUACAGUGAGUAGUGCAGUGGUGGCGGUGGGUGAGAGAGGGUGGUGACGGUCGGCUCAAAAGGGAGGCAAAGGAGAGAGAGAGAAAAAGGCCUUCAAGUGGAUCAUCGCAGCCGCGGUCGUCAGUGAUCAGCCAGUUCCCGACCGAGACGGACUCUCUCCCUUUACUCGGCUGCUCCCGCCGAUUUUUUUUUAUUUAUUUUUUUUAUUUUUAAAUUGAAAAACAAAACAAAAAAAAAAAAAACUUUGACGAUUUUUUGUAAAUUUUAUUUUUAAAAUUAUUUAUUUUGUUUUAUGUAAAUAUUUGUCGAGUGUCUAAGUGGGGUGGGAAGAUUAGAUUUUUGUCAAUUUGCAAUUUCAAAAGUCGUCAAAGAAAUUCGAAAUUUUAUUUAUUUUUAAAUUGUUGACUUGAGAUGGUGGGGGUUCAACAUUUGGUCAGUCGAUAAUCGGCAUGUCAUUUAAGUUCAAGUGUCUUCAGUUUGUACAAAAAAACAAACAACUUUUUAUUUGGUUAUCUAAUAAGAGAAAAACCUCGCUCCCAAAAUUGUCCCUCCCCACAAGACCAAGAAGAUAUUUCACGCUCCGGGCGCAAGAGUCUAGAAAUUUAUUUCGACUCGAUUCUACCAAUUUGUGUUAAUUUAAUUAACCAGAUUGUUUACGCCCGCCAAUCUGUGGGAAAACGGAUGGAAUUGGGAACAAAACGAAAGUUGUGUGUCUCUAUUUGGAUGUUUCGUUUCAAAAUCUGCACCCAAGGCCAACAACUCGAUCCCGUCAACUUCGUGACAUUGGCUCCUAACUGCGACGCUCACGUCGUUAUUUCAAACAAAACAACAAAUUCAAUUCAAGUUUAUUUUUUGAAAUUUUUUCAAGUGAAAUCAUUCCAGCCAUCCGGUUUUUUCUCUCGUAUAAUGUGUGUCACUGGCUGCGUGUGUCGCCGUGUGUGUGUGUGUGUGUGGGGACAUAAAAUGUAUUGAUUGGGGCGGGUCCCUUUUUUGGUUGAGGCCACCCAACCCUCCUUUUUUUAUCCCCAUUUCGCCCCCAAUGCCACCCAAUACGCGAAUCCCAUUUUUUCUCUUCCGUAUAGGUACAGCACACACACAUACAUUCUGGUGGGUGAUAAUACCACCCCAUUUUUAGACCUACCCCUCUUCCGGAAGAAGGAGGCCUACGUGUAUAUUGAAAGAGGGGGGGGGGAUCGAUCGGUGGGUGGAAGGAGGAGCUAUCUAUCACUAGCCAUUGGUCACCUUUUUACCAAAUAACGCCAGAAAAACGGGUGGGGUGAUAGGAUAUUUUUGAGGGUACAAUGUACAUACAGUAGAGCAUGCGCUGGAUUCUAGGAGGCCUAGUAAAAAUCAAACAUUUUAUUUCUAGUUUUGUAGGAGGAAUAAAUGAAUAACCAAGUACCCGAAACGAUAGGUGAGAACCUCCCAGUGAGGACGACAUCCAAAUCAAUUGAUUUAUACAUUGAAAUUUCUUGAACAAAAUUGUCUCAAUCGAACGAGUGAAGAGGCUACAGUUUGACGCCCAAGUUGAAUGUCCCAAAAGUGUCGUCAUAGUAACAGUUUCUUUUCUAUAUGUAGGCCCAGGUCGAUAAGCUUCGUGCUUGUGUGUGUGUGUGUCUUUUCUUUCUUUCUUUCUCAUUUCCAGUUUGAAAUCGUCGUCGAAUGGAUGUGACGUGUCGCUAGCGAGGUAUAGAGUUCCUACGUCUUGUCACUGAAUUCAAGUCGAUUGGUAGGAACUUCAUACCGUGCUCUCGACGCCAAUCCGAUAGUCUCCGAUUCAUCGUCUUUUAUUUGUCAAAUUAUUACACGGGUGAGACAUUUGCAUAUACAUUUUGUUUAUAAUUAAUCGUCGCUCAAAGAAAAAGAAAUAUGCAUGUCUGGAUGUUUGACAUAUUAACUCAAUAAAUAAGGUUUCUUUUGAA